CGAGUGGCGGACGGGUGAGUAAUGUCUGGGAAACUGCCUGAUGGAGGGGGAUAACUACUGGAAACGGUAGCUAAUACCGCAUAACGUCGCAAGACCAAAGAGGGGGACCUUCGGGCCUCUUGCCAUCGGAUGUGCCCAGAUGGGAUUAGCUAGUAGGUGGGGUAACGGCUCACCUAGGCGACGAUCCCUAGCUGGUCUGAGAGGAUGACCAGCCACACUGGAACUGAGACACGGUCCAGACUCCUACGGGGAGGCAGCAUG
rnacentral:rRNA from 1 species